rnacentral:rRNA from 1 species
GUUUGAUCCUGGCUCAGGAUGAACGCUGGCGGUCUGCUUAACACAUGCAAGUCGAACGGGACUCUUCGGAGUUUAGUGGCGGACGGGUGAGUAACGCGUGAGAAUCUGCCCUUAGGUUGGGGACAACAGUUGGAAACGACUGCUAAUACCCAAUGUGCCGAGAGGUGAAAGGUUAACUGCCUGGGGAUGAGCUCGCGUCUGAUUAGCUAGUUGGAGUGGUAACGGCACACCAAGGCGACGAUCAGUAGCUGGUCUGAGAGGAUGAUCAGCCACACUGGGACUGAGACACGGCCCAGACUCCUACGGGAGGCAGCAGUGGGGAAUUUUCCGCAAUGGGCGAAAGCCUGACGGAGCAAGACCGCGUGAGGGAGGAAGGCCUAUUGGUUGUAAACCUCUUUUGAUAGGGAAGAACACAAUGACGGUACCUAUCGAAUCAGCAUCGGCUAACUCCGUGCCAGCAGCCGCGGUAAUACGGAGGAUGCAAGCGUUAUCCGGAUUUAUUGGGCGUAAAGCGUCCGUAGGUGGCAAACCAAGUCAGUUGUUAAAGCGUAGAGCUUAACUCUAUAAGGGCAAUUGAAACUGGUUAGCUAGAGUGCGAUAGGGGCAAGGGGAAUUCCCAGUGUAGCGGUGAAAUGCGUAGAUAUUGGGAAGAACAUCGGUGGCGAAGGCGCCUUGCUGGGUCUGCACUGACACUGAGGGACGAAAGCUAGGGGAGCGAAAGGGAUUAGAUACCCCUGUAGUC